AGUGAACGCUGGCGGUAGGCCUAACACAUGCAAGUCGAACGGCAGCACAGUAAGAGCUCGCUCUUACAGGUGGCGAGUGGCGGACGGGUGAGGAAUACAUCGGAAUCUACUUUUUCGUGGGGGAUAACGUAGGGAAACUUACGCUAAUACCGCAUACGACCUACGGGUGAAAGCAGGGGAUCUUCGGACCUUGCCCGAUUGAAUGAGCCGAUGUCGGAUUAGCUAGUUGGCGAGGUAAAGGCCCACCAAGGCGACGAUACGUAGCUGGCCUGAGAGGGUGAUCAGCCACACUGGAACUGAGACACGGUCCAGACUCCUACGGGAGGCAGCAGUGGGGAAUCUUGCGCAAUGGGCGAAAGCCUGAUGCAGCAAUACCGCGUGAGUGAAGAAGGCCUUCGGGUUGUAAAGCCCUUUUAUUGGGAAAGAAAAGAUGCGGAUUUAUCCCCCGCUGUUCUGACGGUACCCAAAGAGUAAGCACCGGCUAACUUCGUG
rnacentral:rRNA from 1 species